rnacentral:rRNA from 1 species
GACGAACGCUGGCGGCGUGCUUAACACAUGCAAGUCGAACGAUGAAGCCUAGCUUGCUAGGUGGAUUAGUGGCGAACGGGUGAGUAAUACGUGAGUAACCUACCUUUGACUCUGGGAUAAGCCUGGGAAACUGGGUCUAAUACCGGAUACGACCAAUCUCCGCAUGGGGUGUUGGUGGAAAGCGUUAUGUAGUGGUUAUAGAUGGGCUCACGGCCUAUCAGCUUGUUGGUGAGGUAACGGCUCACCAAGGCGACGACGGGUAGCCGGCCUGAGAGGGUGACCGGCCACACUGGGACUGAGACACGGCCCAGACUCCUACGGGAGGCAGCAGUGGGGAAUAUUGCACAAUGGGCGCAAGCCUGAUGCAGCGACGCCGCGUGAGGGAUGACGGCCUUCGGGUUGUAAACCUCUGUUAGCAGGGAAGAAGAGAGAUUGACGGUACCUGCAGAGAAAGCGCCGGCUAACUACGUGCCAGCAGCCGCGGUAAUACGUAGGGCGCGAGCGUUGUCCGGAAUUAUUGGGCGUAAAGAGCUUGUAGGGCGGUUUGUCGCGUCUGCUGUGAAAGGCCGGAGCUUAACUCCGUGUAUUGCAGUGGGUACGGGCAGACUAGAGUGCAGUAGGGGAGACUGGAAUUCCUGGUGUAGCGGUGGAAUGCGCAGAUAUCAGGAGGAACACCGAUGGCGAAGGCAGGUCUCUGGGCUGUAACUGACGCUGAGAAGCGAAAGCAUGGGGAGCGAACAGGAUUAGAUACCCUGGUAGUCCAUGCCGUAAACGUUGGGCACUAGGUGUGGGGAACAUUCCACGUUUUCCGCGCCGUAGCUAACGCAUUAAGUGCCCCGCCUGGGGAGUACGGCCGCAAGGCUAAAACUCAAAGAAAUUGACGGGGGCCCGCACAAGCGGCGGAGCAUGCGGAUUAAUUCGAUGCAACGCGAAGAACCUUACCAAGGCUUGACAUAUACUGGACCGCAUCAGAGAUGGUGUUUCCCUUCGGGGCUGGUAUACAGGUGGUGCAUGGUUGUCGUCAGCUCGUGUCGUGAGAUGUUGGGUUAAGUCCCGCAACGAGCGCAACCCUCGUUCUAUGUUGCCAGCACGUUAUGGUGGGGACUCAUAGGAGACUGCCGGGGUCAACUCGGAGGAAGGUGGGGAUGACGUCAAAUCAUCAUGCCCCUUAUGUCUUGGGCUUCACGCAUGCUACAAUGGCCGGUACAGAGGGUUGCGAUACUGUGAGGUGGAGCUAAUCCCUAAAAGCCGGUCUCAGUUCGGAUUGGGGUCUGCAACUCGACCCCAUGAAGUCGGAGUCGCUAGUAAUCGCAGAUCAGCAACGCUGCGGUGAAUACGUUCCCGGGCCU